rnacentral:rRNA from 1 species
UAGGGAAUCUUCCACAAUGGACGCAAGUCUGAUGGAGCAACGCCGCGUGAGUGAAGAAGGUUUUCGGAUCGUAAAGCUCUGUUGUUGGUGAAGAAGGAUAGAGGCAGUAACUGGUCUUUAUUUGACGGUAAUCAACCAGAAAGUCACGGCUAACUACGUGCCAGCAGCCGCGGUAAUACGUAGGUGGCAAGCGUUGUCCGGAUUUAUUGGGCGUAAAGCGAGCGCAGGCGGAAUGAUAAGUCUGAUGUGAAAGCCCACGGCUCAACCGUGGAACUGCAUCGGAAACUGUCAUUCUUGAGUGCAGAAGAGGAGAGUGGAAUUCCAUGUGUAGCGGUGGAAUGCGUAGAUAUAUGGAAGAACACCAGUGGCGAGGGCGGCUCUCUGGUCUGCAACUGACGCUGAGGCUCGAAAGCAUGGGUAGCGAACAGG